UGCGUAGGCGGCGAGGAAAGUUUGAGGUGAAAUCUCCAGGCUCAACUUGGAAAUUGCCUUGAAGACUUCCUUGCUCGAGGGUCGUAGAGGAGACUGGAAUUCUCGGUGUAGCGGUGAAAUGCGCAGAUAUCAGGAAGAACACCCGUGGCUAAGGCGGCUCUCUAGUACGGUACUGACGCUGAGACGCGAAAGCGUGGGAGCGAACA
rnacentral:rRNA from 1 species